rnacentral:lncRNA from 1 species
GCGGAGGAGGAGGAGGAGGAAGCCGGGGCUAGCAAAUGUCCGAAUGCCUCCCACACCUUUGAUGAAAUCACACCCUUAGCCGUUGGCUCCUGGAUCUGGGUGAGUGACAGCAGAAUGGCAGCCGUGGAGGUAGAAAUGGAGGCUUCCCCAGCCUCUAGGAAUUUCCAUGAAGAUACCAGAGAGAGUGAGCUGCAUGAAGGCCCCAGAAAACCACACCUAGGUCUCAGAGAGGCCAGGAGAGGGGCCCAGUGGCCGUCUGGGCAGCAUAUGGAGAGGCUCUGCAAUACGGUAGGAUGCGAAGACAGAUCAGCGACCCUUGUUAGAACAUGUACAAAAACCUUCCUCAAAAUGUUUGUGUCCAGGGACUGAACCUCACCGUGAAAGAGGCUCCCAGGGUCCACAAAGGCCAGGGGCGGCCAGCUCUGGCUUUCUGUCCAAAUAGGUGGUGUGGCGUGGUGGGGAGGGGCUUCCUGGGCCCAAAGAGCCAGCCAGCUCUGUCUUUUCUGCCAGCUGCAGCCUAAACACCUUCUGAACGUCUCUCUCCUGUUCUGCCGCAGCCUCUUCCUGGAAAUCUCUGCAGCCUUCCCUCUCAGCCAGUUCCUGGGACGAAAGCCUCUCUCUGCACGUCCUGCAGGGGUUCCUGGAAUCCUGAAGGUGCCACUGGCUGGGAGAGGCCGCAGUGCUGUGGGAUGAUUAAGGGGAGGCACCCUGGAGGGAGCCGGGGCUGGGAGACCAGGCCUGGACUAAGAUAAGCAGGGUGGACACUGCCUGAAAAUCACGUAAAGAAUGAGGUGAAGGAAAACAGAAUGAAAACUUCAGAGGCUGCCUCCAAACUCAUUAGUUAGAACGAUUUCAACAUCAUAUUUUAAAAAACGAGCAUCAGGCAAAUCAAUCCACGGACAUCUUCAAGAAGGACAGGAUCUGGGCGGGCGAGGGCCUGAGCGGCCUCCCUGGCCUCUCUUGCCUCCCGGAGGCCGGGCCUUUCUGGAUUCGCAUCUCAGCGCUCCUCCCGCGAGGUGGAGGUGACAUAGAGUAAACUGAACGUGCCUCAGGAGGGAGAUUGGUAAUGACCUGCGGCCCAGCUGUGUGACCACAUCUGCGUUGUGGCACAGGGGCCCUGCAGGAUUUCCUUUCUUGCUUAGAACUCUGUGUGGGUUCUAAGGUGAAGGCCAAACCUGUCGCGCUAGCCCCUUCCCUGGAAGCCAGAAGACACCGUCCGUCUGCCACACUGUGCUGCUGAGACCCCCGGGGCUGACCUUGGCCCUGAACUUCACAUCAUCCCAACCCCAGCCCUGACCACACCCCGAGGGGCCUUUUAAAGUGCCUUGGAGUCCCGGUGAUGUUCGAGGUCUCCUCUUUUGCAUCUGUUUUGAAGCCCUGAUCUCUGACGGCCCUUAAGACAUCGGGGGGCAGCUGUGCUUAGGGCUUAGGUUUGGAGAUACUAUGGUUCCUUCAAGGGCAAGGAGAAGAGAAUAAAAAUUCACCAGCUGUCAUAUAAGUUCACAGAUCCUUAAAGCAGGCGAAUCUUAGGAAAGCACUGGAUGCAACUCCGGGCUUUCAAAGAUGGGCAGCUUUAGAGUUGCAUCCAGUGGUUUCUAAGACCCUCCUGCUUUAAGGAUCUGUGAACUUAUAUGACAUCUGGUGUCCCUUUCCCAAGGUCACAGGAAUAAUUUUAUUUUUUGUUAAACAGCUACUAUGUGUCAUGCUUCAAAGUGUUUUAUAUUCAUCAGCUCAUUUAUUCCUCCUAUCACCCGUGAGGUGGGGACUGUUAAGAUUUCUGCUUUCUAGAGGAAGUACCUGAGGCCCAGAGAGGGAAGUGACUUGCCCAUAGUCACACAGCAACAUGUGGUAAUGUGGUAUCUGAACAAGGGUAAUCAGACUCUAGCACUUCCAGGCUAAAGUCUUCUUUGCUCAAGCCAGAUUUCUCUUUAUGACACUAAAGGCAGGGAAUGAAUAAUCUAUGAGGUGAGGAAUUUGCUUUUUGGCUCUUAGAUUUACUCCCUAUGAAAACAAGUCAGAGAGCGAAGGGCCAGGAUCCUGCUGCCCCUUCUGUUGGUUGACCAGGCGCCAGAGGGACGCCAUGGCUCAGCAGCCAGGGUGGGGCUGCCCCGGACAGAUAAAGGUCUAGUGCUGAUUCUUGGACCAGUGACUUGGCUGCACAAUGCAGGGUCAAAGGGGGUGUGAGUGCCAGUCCCACAUCACCAGGCACAGCACGGCCCCAGGAGUCCCAGCAUGGGCUGCCGUGGUGGAGACCACGUCUGUGAGUGCGAGGUGCUGGGUGAGCCCUCCGUGAGUGGGACCAGCAGGGUGGCUCGGCCUCCAAGUUACUUGGUCAUCUGUGAACUAAUGGGCGUGGCCGGAGGAUCUCCAAAGCUCCUUCCUGCCCUCGGAUUCUAUGACCCUGAGCUCUGGGCUCCAGGGUGUGGGGCAGGGAGCGGGGUGCUGGAGCAUCAGCCUCCAGAUGGCCAGCAGCUGUUUGGAAACACCCCGUGCACCUUCCUCGUCCUCUCUAUUUCUCGGCUUGGCUCAAGGGCCGAUUAUAUUACCAGUGGAGAAAUAAACCAAAAACCCAGGGAAAUGGCUGCUUCCCUGUUUUCUUCAUCGCAUUUUCCACGUACGUCAUGCACAAGGCUUUUGCAAGAGCCGGGGACCGCCAUCGGCGGGUUUUGCUCCUGCUUCCAUUAGUUCAUUGGGUGGUUAUAGAUAAUGACAUAAAACUUGUUAUUGGGCCAGCCCUGGAUGGUCUCUGGAGCAGUCAUGUGGGUCCACUCUGAAGCUCCUUCCCGUGGAGGCGUAGGACUUUAUUUCCACUCGGAAUCUCAGUUUCCUCUUCUAGGAAAUGAAGGUACUAGAAAUACUGUUUGUCCCACAGGAAGGGCUAAGAGGAGGACUGAUUGAUUUAAUAUCCUGUAAAUCCAGGCCUAGAGGAAUAACUGGAGGAUUAGCUGCUGUUUUUACGAAGCACUUCGUGUUCGUUUACGGAUCUGACGCAUCCACCGACGCCACCCGGCUGAUGGGAUCUUACGAACCUGGUUCUUGACUUCAGAAUGAGAAAUAGUGACUUGUUCCGGGUCACACAGUAAGUGGCAGGGCCCCUAGUUUCUAGGGUGGCUUUUUUGAGACCAAGGUUAGACUAUCUUCUGUUUUCCCACUGCCAGCUAACUUCUGCUUGUCCUUCAGGACCACCCAGACAUCACCCCUCCCAGGAACCAAUACUUGGUCCCCCAGGCUGGCUUCCAGGACCCUGUGCCCCCUCUGCCCACCUCUACUUCCCCACUGCGGGCAGAGAUGGUGUCUACGAGGAGCACUCACGCCGUCCUCAACUCUGUCUAUCUUUCAUUUAACAUCUUUCUGUCUCUUCCAUCCAUCCAUCCAUCCAGCCAGCCAGCCAUCCUUUUAUCUUCUUGACUUUUCGUCUUUGGAGUUUGCUACAGUCUUCGGCUUACAUUUGGGGGCUCAGUAAAUGCUGGUUGAAAUAAAUGGAUGGGAAUUCCCAGGGGCUCUGACAGAAGGAGUGUUUGUUCAUGGCUGGUGCUGGGUCAACCCACAACUCCAUAUUCUUCCCCCCAAUCAGGACCUAUCCACAGACACACAGUGGUGCCAAAUAUUUGAAAUAGGGACACCCUGGAACAUGGGUGUGAGUACUUGAGAGAUGCGUUGAAGGUCCCCAGCGUGGUCCUGGGUUUCAGGGGCGGGUGAGUUUCCUGGCGCCUGGCGGGGUGCCUUGGCAGGGUGUCCCUGGAUGCCGUUCCUCUGUGCAGUGUGCUAAGGUGGCCAGUUACAUGGUCUGCACGGGGGUGACGGCCUGUGUUCUCAUGAACCUCGCCUCCUCCCUGGGGUUUCUUCUGCUCCCCAAUGAUCAUGAGUCAGGCUCUUCUGGGCCGAGGACUGGUGUGAGCCCAUGUUGGAGAGCCCUGGAUGCUGCUCAGCGUGGCUCUCGGUGACAUGGGUCCCACCCCUCUCAUCAGAUCCCGGUCCACCUCUUCAGCCUCACACUCCUACUGUCCACGCGUCCCACAGCUUCAGAGCCAGCUGCUCCCGCAAACACGAAGGCUCCUCCUGCCUCUCCCCCCUGGGCUUGCUGACCCUCGGCCUGAGAUGCCCCCUCUCCCCCUCCCUCUGCUGGGUAGGACCCCUGUCCUCAAGCCCGUGUAGACCUCCUCCUCCAGGAAGCCUCCUGCACCCUCAGGGCGUGCCAGUGGCCUGCCUGCCCAUCCUCCCCAGAUGGGCUUUCUCCUGUGUCUCCCUCUAGACCUGGGGGCACACUCGACCCUUCGCACUGUCACCUGGAAUCUACGGCGGUAACUGACCCAGGCAGCGCUUCAGACCUGUUGGUGGACUCACGAAGCGCAUUGAUCUCAUCAGAGGGAGGACGUGGGUGCAGCCUGUGGGCCUCGGCAUCGGGGGACUCCGCUAAGGGACCCCAGGGGCCACCGCUGGAGCGGGAGGUGCUGGGCUAGACCCCGCUUCCAGCCCUGACCCCCUCGUAAGCACAUCCCUGGAUUCACUCUCCUAGAAAUCAGUCAGGAGGGGGGUCAUGGGACGGCCGGGAGGCCGGGCUGGCCCUCAGAUCUCAGCUGGAUGGCGCGCCCCCCCCCGUCUCUGCAGCAGCACAGGGACAAUCAGACUGGCGACAGAGUUAGACCGAGUCCCGUGGCAUCAUCCCAUAGGAAGAGACCUUAGGCACUGUGCACACACGCCCACCUGGUGGUGAUGACCGGCCCCGGGCAGCGCUGCCUCCUUCUGGCUUGUGACCCGACCAAUAGAGCUCACCGGCUCCAAGUGAGCGUCACUCUCCGGAGUUCAGUGGUAUUAUGGGAUGGAUCUUAAAUGUCCCCCCAAGGCUUGGUCCCCAGUCAGCAGUGUCCCGAGGUGGAGCCUUGGAGAGGAGACAGGAUCAGGAGAAUUGAACCUCAUCAAUGGAUGAAUCCACUCUGAAUUCACAGCCUCACGGGCUAUGGGAGGUGCUGGUAACUUCAGGAGGUGGUAACUUCAGGAGGUGGUCUUAGCUAGAGGAGGUAGGCGGGUCAUGGGGCACGCCCUGGAAGCUGUAUUUUGUCCAGUUCUCCCCGCCCCCUCUGCUCCCCGAUGCCAGGAGGGGAGCAGUUUUGCUCCUCCAGGUCUUUCCACCGUGGCCUGCUGCCUCAUCAGGGGCCCAGCCACGAUGAAGCCAAGUGCCCAUGGAAUGGACCUCUGCAACUAUGAGUCAGAAUAACCUUUCCUCUUUGAAAUUGUUUUAUCUCAGGUACUUUGUCACAGUGAAGGAAAGCUCACCCAGGGGCUCUGAGAAUCCUGUGCACUUCAGGAUCCCUGGGGAGCUAAAUGUCCAAAUGCAUCUUUAGGGUCUCUUCCGAGAGUUUGAUGUAGAGGGUCUGGAGGUCCGGGAAUCUGCACUUUAGUCAAGUGUCCUUCACUCAGAAGUUCUACCCUUAGGUGUCUCUCCAAGAGAAAUGAAAACAUAGUGUCCACUUAAAGACGUGUGUGUGAAGGUUCAGAAAGCUUUAUUCACAUCAGCCCAAAGGUGGACACAGCCCACGGGUCCCUGGACUAAUAAAUGGAUGGGACGCUGCUCAUCCAUACAAGGGGCUUAUUAAACCACCAAAAAGGGACGAAGUGGUGACGCAUGCUACAACAUAGAUGGCGCUCAGAAACAUGCUCAGAGAGAGACGCCAGACUCAAAAGGCCAUGUAUGAAGUGUCAGGCAAACCUAUAGAGACGCAGAGCAAAUUAGUGGUUGUUGGGGGUCGCCGGGGGCUCAGGGAUGUAUACUUUAAUAAGUGAAUUGCACAGUAUGUUCAUUAUAUCUUAAUAAAACCAUUAUUAAAAAAAUACCAAAUGAGUCGCCCCUGGGAAGGUGGGAGACCC